GGCGUCGUGUCACUCCACUUAAUGGACGGCGUACAUGUAAAAAAGGAGGAAUAACCGUUCGGCUCACGGUGCGGCAGUGUGGAGACCUGUCGUAAUGCAUUUACUCUUUUACCGGGUACUUGUGAGGCAUUCGUUAGCGGAGGCUGGGAUGCUAGGGUCGGGAAAUAUGUC
rnacentral:ncRNA from 1 species